GCGGCAAAGUUAUUAUUAUUAUUUUGUGUCAAUUUUUAUUGAUAUUUCUGCCAUUUUUGCAAGAGUUAUAUCCCUUUUCAAUGCAAAUCUCCAUAGGAAUUUUAUAUGGUGAUUUUUUUAGUCUUCCUCCAGUAAGAUUUUAUGGGACUUUUUUCUGUGUAUAUUUGGGGUAUAAUGCUAAAGAUUAAACCUUAAAAAUCUUCUGUUGCAAUUACUUUCAGGUUAGGGUCAAAUUUAUGCUAGAUUGACUGGACUAAAUAAGCCUUUUUUUAGUUAUGUGUAUAUGCACCCCCUAAUGUGGUUAGAUAUUUGUUAUUUAAGCUUCCUCUAAUGAAUAAAUUUUACAAGAUAUAUUUGUUUAUAUGGCAGAGAUAAUAAUGACAGCCAAAAUUUGGUGGUCAU
rnacentral:lncRNA from 1 species